rnacentral:tRNA from 1 species
GGGGCCGUAGUCUAGCUUGGAAGGAUGCCAGCCUGGGGCGCUGGUAGGGGGUACCCCCAGUAGGGUCCCGGGUUCAAAUCCCGGCGGCCCCA